UACGUAGGUGGCAAGCGUUGUCCGGAUUUACUGGGCGUAAAGGGCGUGCAGGCGGUUUGUUAAGUGCAGGGUGAAAGCUCCCGGCUCAACUGGGAGAGGUCUUGCAUACUGGCAAACUCGAGGGAGGCAGAGGAAAGUGGAAUUCCCGGUGUAGUGGUGAUAUGCGUAGAUAUCGGGAGGAACACCUGUGGCGAAGGGCGGCUUUUCUGGGGCCCUUACCC
rnacentral:rRNA from 1 species